AUUGAACGCUGGCGGCAUGCUUUACACAUGCAAGUCGAACGGCAGCACGGGUGCUUGCACCUGGUGGCGAGUGGCGAACGGGUGAGUAAUGCAUCGGAACGUAUCCAAUAAUGGGGGAUAACGCAUCGAAAGGUGUGCUAAUACCGCAUACGCCCUGAGGGGGAAAGUGGGGACCGUAAGGCCUCACGUUAAUGGAGCGGCCGAUGCCUGAUUAGCUAGUUGGUGAGGUAAAGGCUCACCAAGGCGACGAUCAGUAGCUGGUCUGAGAGGAUGAUCGGCCACACUGGGACUGAGACACGGCCCAGACUCCUACGGGAGGCAGCAGUGGGGAAUUUUGGACAAUGGGCGCAAGCCUGAUCCAGCCAUGCCGCGUGAGUGAAGAAGGCCUUCGGGUUGUAAAGCUCUUUCGCAAGGGAAGAAAACUUAGUUCUUAAUACGAGCUGAGGAUGACGGUACCUUGAUAAGAAGCACCGGCUAACUACGUGCCAGCAGCCGCAGUAACAC
rnacentral:rRNA from 1 species